rnacentral:lncRNA from 12 species
CCUCAUGAGUUUAUCCCCCUUGUAACCGGAAGCUAAAGAGUCAAGAAAUGGAGACCAAAAACUUAGAAUUAUUUCAGUGGAAAAAACAGAAGACCAAAAGGUGAAAUUUGCUUGGAGUGUCAUUUUGUCACCAGGGCAUUCAAAUAAUCAAGUAUAAAGUUUCUACCAGUGGGAAGAUGGCAGGGGCACAGAGAGCACAGGCUUCCCCGGGCUUCUAGAUUCAAUGGAAGGGGGUCACACGUCUUUCUUUGCU